AGGUGCCUCAGGCCCAGAGCCCGGAACAACUUGAACACUCGAGGAAGAGACGCCUCCUGCAAGGCAGCAGUCAGUUGUGUAUCCGUCACUGUGAAGGACAGUGCCCAGGACGCGCCCACCCAUGGACUGCUGCACAUACCUUGUGCUUCAGGAGCACGAUGAGCUGGGAGCGCAGGAUCAAGCCUUGGAGCCUGGCUGGCUGCAGGAGAGGAAACAGAGGCCUUGAGACUGCAGUGGGAAAAUCUGGUCAGAUUCCCCACUGGCCCAUAGUUGCUGUUUAACAGUCACCUCUAAGCACAGGCCUUGAAGUGGGUAUCUCUCACAUAUAAUCCUGCUAGUCCCUAAAGUAUCUGAGACAGGGCUAACCCUGUCUGCAGAGCAUGGAAGCCAGCUGCUGAGAAUGGAAUCAACAGGUAGCAAGACAUAAGCCAAGUCUAUUUCUUACAUUUCUUUCAGGCCACUAGGGCUAAUGUCCAACACAUCCCAGCAGAAUAAGAACUGGGCAAGGGGUAAACAUUAGCUGGGUUCACAUCUCAUUGGCACCUCCUGAUAGACAUCACAACACCAUGACUUAGAAGUCCAGUUCAGUCACAACUGCACAAGGCUGUACUGUGGGGACAGGCCAGCUAAGAGAAGAAUUUUACUUUAUGUGCAACACAGGAUUUCCUGUUCAUGGGCUGGAGAAAUGGAUCAGUGGUUAAGGUCCCUUGCAGAGGACCUUGGCUUGAUUCUAAACACCUACUCGGUAGCUCACAAACAUCUGUAAUGCCAAUUCCAAGGGGAUCUAAUGCCCUUUUAUACAUGCAGGCAAAACACAUAAAUAGGAUAAAAAUAAAUCUUUUUUUUAAAGGUAUCUUGUUCAGAUGAACUACAUGAGGAACAUCCCCAAUAUAAGUUGCUCACAGGCACAAAAUAAAAAGGAAUUUAUACUCCUAAA